AACGUAGGAGGCGAGCGUUAUCCGGAUUUACUGGGCGUAAAGCGCACGCAGGCGGCUCUGUGAGUCGGACGUGAAAGCUCCCGGCUUAACCGGGAGAGGCCGUUCGAUACUGCGGGGCUUGAGGUAGGGAGAGGAAUGCGGAAUUCCCGGUGUAGUGGUGGAAUGCGUAGAUAUCGGGAGGAACACCUGUGGCGAAAGCGGCAUUCUGGCCCUCACCUGACGCUGAGGUGCGAAAGCGUGGGUAGCAAACAGGAUUAGAACCCUGGUAGUCC
rnacentral:rRNA from 1 species